AAAUGAACGAAUCUCUUGAAAGAAUCAUAAUUUCCACCACACCAGCGUGUGAGCAGGACUUUUAUCUUGGCGUGGUGAUGUGACGUCAUGAGGAUGCUCCGCGCUCCUGCAUCUGCUGUGAUUCAACUCAAGAAAGGUUUUGUUUUAAAGCGUUUAACGUGUAGAAACUGUUAAACUUGAAAGUUUUACGAGCGAUACAGGGUUUUAUUAACUGCAACAUAUUAAUGUUUUAUUUGAAAGUGAUUUGUGUGAGUAAAGCGCAUCGAUCCACACGCGAGUAACGUAAACACAAAAGAACAGAAACAGUUCCACGUGACACGCUUAUAAAGAUGGCGUUUGUUAAAGAGCAGAGUGAAGACAUCAAGAUUGAAGAAGUCUUCAGUCUGAAACAAGAUCCUGAGGAAAAGCCAGGUCAGUUUUAUUCUCUAAAAUAAACUCAGUUAUUUGAUAUGUAUUCAAAUGUCCAGCUCAACAGAAAUGAAAUAUAUUUUUGAAGAAUAUCAAUAAAACUUCUUAAUUAAAGUGGUUUUAUUUGAACUGGAGUGGGAUGAAGCAUGUGGACAGACACUGAGAUCACAUGACCAGCUAAAUACUAUCACUGGCUUCAUGUGAACCUGUGAAGGUCCUUCCUUCAUGUUGGUCAU